rnacentral:rRNA from 1 species
UUCCUACGGGGGGCUGCAGUGGGGAAUCUUGCGCAAUGGGCGAAAGCCUGACGCAGCAACGCCGCGUGAGCGAAGAAGGCCUUCGGGUUGUAAAGCUCUGUCAGGAGGGACGAAUCCACUCGGGUGAACAGCCCAGAGGGUGACGGUACCUCCAGAGGAAGCCCCGGCUAACUACGUGCCAGCAGCCGCGGUAAUACGUAGGGGGCGAGCGUUGUCCGGAAUCAUUGGGCGUAAAGCGCGUGUAGGCGGCUCGGCAAGUCCGAUGUGAAAGCUCGAGGCUCAACCUCGAGUCUGCAUUGGAAACUGCCGUGCUAGAGUCCGGAAGAGGGGACUGGAAUUCCUGGUGUAGCGGUGAAAUGCGCAGAUAUCAGGAAGAACACCGGUGGCGAAGGCGGGUCCCUGGGACGGUACUGACGCUGAGACGCGAAAGCGUGGGGAGCAAACAGGAUUAGAUACCCCUGUAGUCA